rnacentral:lncRNA from 1 species
ACAGAAGGUCACAAGUUGUGACUCCCAUGUCUUCCCUCUUUCGACACUCUUGAGCUCAGCUGUCUUCUGGUUGGCGAGUGCUUCCUUUCUCCGCAGCGUCUUCUGGCCACUUCACUCUGACUGAGGCUGAAUUUUGAAGCUUACAGAUUUCUCGGGAUUCAGAAGGGAAGGUCACCCCCGCACAUGGAAGAGCAGUGAUGCGCCCAUACUGCAACGUGCUCGGGAUACUGCGGGAAAGGGUUCCAGAACCAUUCCGCCUACUCACCAGCUCUAGGAUUUGGCAGCCAACACCCUCCUCUGACCUCCGAGGCUCGGCGUUAUUGACUAACCCUAACAGGGAUGGAUCCCGCCUUCCCUGCCUCACAGUGACUUCUGUGAGGGUUAAACGAGAGCCAUGAAAACCAUGCAUGUCAGUAUUUCCCAGUAAACACUUAGUGACGGAAGUGCUGCGGUGGGGACCAGCGUUCGCAAAGUGCAGAAGACACGGUUCCCCAAGUGAAGCUUGAAGACCUAGAAAGACCUGAGUCAGGUUUUCCACUGAGAUGUGAACCAGCUCCUGGGGGCCCCUGGGGUGCUGCCUUGUUGACCGCAGGCCUUUAAGAUCUUUGUGUACCGCUGAGACCUCUUGAUUCUAAGUUUUACAAUACUGCCCAGUUGACAUCCAGAAUCCUGGCAGAGGAAAAAAAGCAGGUAGACAAAAAGCAUCACGUUUUCAUUUUUUAUCAUCAUUAAAUGACCUCAAAAUUAUUUUAUAU